UACGAAGGGGGCUAGCGUUGCUCGGAAUCACUGGGCGUAAAGGGCGCGUAGGCGGGUCUUUAAGUCAGGGGUGAAAUCCUGGAGCUCAACUCCAGAACUGCCUUUGAUACUGAGGAUCUUGAGUUCGGGAGAGGUGAGUGGAACUGCGAGUGUAGAGGUGAAAUUCGUAGAUAUUCGCAAGAACACCAGUGGCGAAGGCGGCUCACUGGCCCGAUACUGACGCUGAGGUGCGAAGGCGUGGGGAGCAAACAGG
rnacentral:rRNA from 1 species